AUACUGCUUCAUGACUUUCUAACUUUUGAACGUUGGUGAUUAUGUCUUCAAUGUUCGAUAUGUUUCGGAAAUAGUGGCUUUUAUCUCUGUGGUAUGACUGAAGUGCCAGCGAAGGUACAAUUUUUUUUUGUGCGUUUGUUUUAACAUACUUGGUCAAGAAAGAUGAUUCUGAUGCUGACGUAUAAAGAGAUUUUCGUCAAGCGUCGAAAGUAUGUGAAAGUAAAAACCAUAAAAAAGAUACUUGAAAAACCUACUUAAGUAAAGUCGUGGAGUAUUUGCUCUUUGUUACGUCACACCACUGCUCUCCGAUGAUCUUUAAUAACACACGCAAUGCUUGCCUUCACCCGUGGGACAAAACGCUUCAAAACGACGACGAUCGCUCGACAUGAGACCAACCGUGUUAAGUCCCCGCAUUCCCUAAAUAGGGGGGCGCGCGCAGCGUGUUGCGAAUUGACUCAGCACGGCAAACGGAGGCAACUCGGGGCAACUUCCCCAGAGGGGGGUCUGCGGAGCGGGAAGCAGCGGGGCAGGGGAGCGGGGUGCUGGGAUGGCGGUGACGGGGGACAGCGGGACCCGUUGCCCCAGAAACAGGAGAUGCAGCGAUUCGGUGGAAAGUGUCGACGGCGUUCUCCCUACCCCGCAACACCCCCCUUCCCCGCUCCUCUAUUCUCUCUCACACUCUUCCUCCUCUUCCUCUUUGCUUUUAUUAUCUCAGAUUUAAUAAAGGCAAGGCGAGCAGCUUGUUCUGCCAUGAAACAUU